UUACGGCCAUAUCACGGUCAAGCACCAGUUUCCAUACGAUCACAGAAGUUAAGCAACGUCGGAUUUGGUCAGUACCUAGAUGAGUGACCGCUUAGGAAUACCAGGUGCUA